UGCCAGCAGCCGCGGUAAUACGGAGGGUGCAAGCGUUGCUCGGUAUCACUGGGCGUAAAGGGUGCGUAGGCGGGCUUGUGCGUCAGAGGUUAAAUCCCACGGCUUAACUGUGGAGCUGCCUUUGAUACGGCAAGUCUUGAGUGUGAGAGAGGAUGGUAGAAUUCCUGGUGUAGCGGUGAAAUGCGUAGAUAUCAGGAGGAAUACCAGUGGCGAAGGCGGCCAUCUGGCUCAUCACUGACGCUGAGGCACGAAAGCGUGGAGAGCGAACAGGAUUAGAUA
rnacentral:rRNA from 1 species